rnacentral:rRNA from 1 species
AUGCAACAACAAAAAAUUCGACAACAGUAUUUACGUGACAAAUGGUGCUAUGCGCGUUCACGGUCGAGUUCCCAACAGUCCCAAAGAUGGCACCGGAGACGCGUCCGCAGCCGAAUUCGGUCGGCGCAGGAACCAGCGAAGUUGCAGUACAGGAAGUUGGGAGAUUCAGAUCUCUUCAUCAGCGAGAUAACUCUUGGAACAAUGACCUUUGGAGAACAAAGUACAGAGAAGGAAUCACAUGAUAUGCUCUCUUACUCUUUUGAUCAGGGCAUCAACAUACUCGACACCGCAGAAAUUUACCCGAUUCAACCCAAGCAGGAGACUCAAGGAAGGACUGAUCUAUAUGUAGGCAGGUGGAUGAAAUCCAAGCCACGAGAUAAAGUAAUUUUGGCCACCAAAGUUUCUGGUUAUUCAGAUCGCACUUUCCUUCGGGACAAUGCAGAAAUGGUGCGUGCUGAUGCUCCCAAUAUAAAGGAAAGUGUCGAAAAGAGCCUCUCACGCUUAUCGACAGACUACAUUGAUUUGCUUCACAUACACUGGCCAGAUAGGUAUGUGGCACUAUAUGGCGAAUUCAGUUACGAUUCAACUAAAUGGAAGCCAAGCGUCCCAUUUGAGGAUCAAUUGAAAGCUCUUCAGGAACUAAUUGAUGAAGGAAAGGUACGAUAUAUCGGCGUUUCCAAUGAAACCUCGUACGGAGUAAUGCGAUUUGUACAGGCUGCAAAGCUUCAUGGACUUCCAAAGAUUGUGAGCAUCCAGAAUGGUUAUAGUCUACUUGUGAGAUGCAGCUUCGAAGUCGAUCUUGCUGAAGUCUGCCACCCAAACAACUGCAACGUUGGGCUGCUCGCCUACUCCCCGCUGGGCAGCGGUGUUCUGACCGGAAAGUAUCUGGAUGAUAACUCUGGCAAUAGCAAGAGUUUCAGGCUAAAUCUCUUCCCUGGAUACAUGUAG